rnacentral:rRNA from 1 species
AUCGAACGCUGGCGGCAGGCCUAACACAUGCAAGUCGAGCGAGCGGCGGACGGGUGAGUAGUGUAUGGGGACUGCCCGAUAGAGGGGGAUAACUACUGGAGACGGUGGCUAAUACUGCAUACUAUCGGAUACCCCCUAUGGGAUUAGCUAGUAGGUGGGGUAAAGGCUCACCUAGGCGACGAACCCUAGCUGGUCUGAGAGGAUGAUAGGCCACCCUGGGACUGAGACACGGCCCAGACUCCAAGGGAGGCAGCAGUGGGGAAUAUUGCACAGUGGGCGCAAGCCUGAUGCAGCGAUGCCGAGUGUAUGACGAAGGCCUUAGGGUUGUAAAGUACUUUCAGCGGGGAGGCGGUACCCGCAGAAGAAGCACCGGCUAACUCCGUGCCAGCAGCCGCGGUAAUUC